CGAAGGAUGUAGCUCAGCUCAUUUAGAGAUGAUAUCCAUCAAAUGAAAAACGUUUGGUAGCUGAAGUAUCAAGUAAAAUAUGACUUCUGCAUGAUCAUGCUGUUGUACUCCAAUUCAUUCACGCAUCAUAGAUGGGAUACACUGAGUUCUGGAGACCCGUCUGGGCUCUGCUCGGAGAUCGCCUCCGCAAUGCUGAGCCAUGACCGUAGGUUUACAGUGGUGGGGUUUGCUGUGGUUGGUCUGGUCGUGGCAAGGUGUCAACACUGACGAUCUCGCCAUCUCUGUGCAAGCCUGAGCUAAACGAGGCAUCCCUGCUCUCAGGCUGACCUGCAACCUCACGUGAUGUAGUGUCUGCUCCUCUCAAAGGUGACAUGUUAUUUCAUGAAAUAAUUUGUCUUAGGCUAAUGGUUCACUUCAGUUUUGAUCUCUUUCUAUUUCGUAGAAUAUCUUAGGCUAACGCCUUGGUGGAGACUGAUGUAGCCUGCUAUGUGGAUUCUGAAAUAGAUUUAUACAUGAAUGCUAAAGCUCCAUGGUGAAUCAUGGUUUUGUCUUUGA